UGGGGAAUAUUGCACAAUUGGCGCAAGCCUGAUGCAGCCAUGCCGCGUGUGUGAAGAAGGCCUUCGGGUUGUAAAGCACUUUUAGCGGGGAGGAAGGCGGUGAGUUUAAUAACCUCAUCGAUUGACGUUACCCGCAGAAGAAGCACCGGCUAACUCCGUGCCAGCAGCCGCGGUAAUACGGAGGGUGCAAGCGUUAAUCGGAAUUACUGGGCGUAAAGCGCACGCAGGCGGUCUGUCAAGUCGGAUGUGAAAUCCCCGGGCUCAACGUGGGAACUGCAUUCGAAACUGGCAGGCUAGAGUCUUGUAGAGGGGGGUAGAAUUCCAGGGGUAGCGGUGAAAUGCGUAGAGAUCUGGAGGAAUACCGGUGGCGAAGGCGGCCCCCUGGACAAAGACUGACGCUAAGGUGGGAAAGCGUGGGGAGCAAACAGG
rnacentral:rRNA from 1 species